UCUCGGGCGGUGGGGUGGGCGCGGAAUUUGGCGACCCACUUCGGGAAAGUCAGGAUGGUGGUGCCUUCGCUGAAGCUUCAGGACCUCAUCGAAGAGAUUCGCGGGGCCAAGACUCAGGCCCAGGAGCGGGAGGUGAUCCAAAAGGAGUGUGCCCACAUCCGGGCCUCCUUCCGCGACGGGGACCCAGUGCACAGGCACCGGCAGCUGGCCAAACUGCUCUACGUCCACAUGUUGGGCUACCCCGCCCACUUUGGACAGAUGGAGUGCCUGAAACUGAUCGCCUCCUCCAGAUUCACAGACAAGAGGGUGGGCUACCUGGGGGCCAUGCUUCUAUUGGAUGAGAGGCACGAUGCCCACCUGCUCAUUACCAACAGCAUCAAGAAUGACCUGAGCCAGGGGAUUCAGCCAGUACAAGGCCUGGCCUUGUGCACUUUGAGCACCAUGGGCUCUGCUGAGAUGUGCCGAGACCUGGCCCCAGAAGUGGAGAAACUGCUCCUGCAGCCCAGUCCCUACGUGCGCAAGAAGGCUAUUCUGACUGCAGUGCACAUGAUCCGGAAGGUCCCUGAACUCUCCAGUGUCUUCCUCCCACCCUGUGCUCAACUGCUUCAUGAGCGUCACCAUGGUAAGGCUGUGGGGCUCCCCAUCCUUUGCUUCAGCUCUAUGGACAGAAGAAUUGAAAAUCGGAUGGGAACCCCAGCUCACAGGAGAAGGGUAGUGCACACACACAGGCACACACGCAAUAGACUCUCUUGCCC
rnacentral:sRNA from 1 species